rnacentral:lncRNA from 13 species
CUAGACUCAUCAGUCUCUCUGAGGCCUCAGGGCCCCUUAUCUCCAAAGCCGGGAAAAGAAAACAAGUUCUUUCAAAACUUUAAGGGCAGUGAAACAAAAUGAAACCCUGUUUUGCUAAGCUCCUUGAAGAAGAAUACAGCAGAUAGAAACCUGAAGGCAGGCAUGAAUCAUCUCUAUAGGAAUAGUUUAAAACUUCAUUCUUUUUCAAUGGAAUUCCAAAGAGCAUACUAACUAUCCAAUUACUUUUCUGAUUACUGCAAGAAUAAAAGAAGUAUAAUCCCAAAUUGAAAGCCA